UCCAGGGUAGCCUAGUGGAAAUGGCAUCUGCCCGGUAAGCGGAAGGUCGUGGGUUCGAUUCCCGCCCCUGGAC